UGCCUGAGGACUCUACUCACCACCAUGCUA
rnacentral:piRNA from 1 species